GCCGCGCGGUUUCCGCCCCGGACAAGAUGUCUGCGGGGUCCCGACUCGCGGCGCCGCCGCCCCGCCGCGCCCCGGGGCCGGCUUGAGGCAACGGACAGUAAAAAGUAUAUAACAACGUGUAAAAAGGCCGAGAGCUCAAACAAGAGUUAGACUUCUGAUCAUCCCUCCAGAUAAUGGAUACUAGAAUGAAACUCACCAUGGCACCAGAAUUAUUGAUUGAAGCAUCUCUCCACCAGACAGUGGGCCUCCAGAGGGCAGGGACUAUGCGGUGCUCCCACUGGCAUCCUCAGCAGGAAGCACGUGCCUAACCCUGAGCAGGUGCACAAGGAGCCUUUGAAUGAAGGAGUGGAUGGAUAUCGGCAGAAUCAUCACAUUCACUGGCACUUUUCUGAUGCAGACAUGGAGACUUGGGUGAGCCGGGGCUAAGAAACGUAAAGUUGGGCUCAUUUCAUUUAAUGCAGCGCCCCCUGAGUGCCUACCCUGUGCCAAGGAGCACUGCUGACGCUUAUGCUGCAGCUUCUACCUGAGGACCUGGGUUGGCUGGAAGCCCGGCGGCAAUGAGGACGUGGCCCGCCAUCUAAUUUAAAGGCGCUGCGGAGGAUGCGGAGCGGCGAGCCGCCGGGGACCAUGGACGAGAGCGGCGCGCCGGCCGAGGCGGCGGCGCAGGGCGGCC